GACGUAGGGCGCGAGCGUUGUCCGGAUUUAUUGGGCGUAAAGAGCUCGUAGGCGGCUUGUCGUGUCGACUGUGAAAACCCGUGGCUCAACCAUGUGGUCUGCAGUCGAUACGGGCAGGCUAGAAUUCGGUAGGGGAGACUGGAAUUCCUGGUGUAGCGGUGAAAUGCGCAGAUAUCAGGAGGAACACCAAUGGCGAAGGCAGAUCUCUGGGCCGUAACUGACGCUGAGGAGCGAAAGCAUGGGGAGCGAACAGG
rnacentral:rRNA from 1 species